CUUCUCUCUCUCGCUGAAAAUCCAAUCGAGCUCUCUCUCUCGAUUCACGGCUCCGACGAGGUUGCCGGCGUCGCCGCCGCCUAAGCCCGGCAAGAAAAAGAAAAAGGCAGCGGCUUGCCGCCGAGCCGUCGCCGGCCGUGAGCAGCCCCCGGCUGUUCUCACCCACUUCUAUUCCGGCGAGUAGCAGCGAAAGCCGCCGCCGAUCCCUGUGUUCACGGCUCAGCAGCCUCACAAUCUCAGCCCUCUCCUCGCCGAUCGACUGCAACGAAGGUCGCCACCUUCGACGGCCUCCUCCAACAACUCACACAUCCCGACUCACAACAACAACGACAACAGCUUCAUCUCAACACUCACGCCCACACACAAUGCAUAGAUACUCCCUUUUCUUUUCUUUAACCAAUUUGUGAUAAUUCUAAAAUGUAGUAGAAAGAACAUUUUAUGGAACUCAUUUAUCAGAAAAAGAACAAGGUAUGCGUGCUGAUUUCUGUGACAUAAUAUGUGUGCGUAUCCUCUGUGAAUUGUGCAGUCCUAGUUAGUGUUGAUUAUGUACAUGAACAUGUCAUCGGUGAUGGUUUUCUUUAUAAAAUGAAUGACUGAUUUUGAGUGUAUGUGUGAGUUGGUUUACCUCUUAUGAAAAUAAGUUGAUUUCUCCAGGAGUAAGUUGCUGUAAAUUGAUGUUGGCUGCUGUGGUGUUUGAAUCAGUGGAUAGAAACUGAAAUAAAUUGCUUAUUUGCUUAACAAUUGCAGGAUGAACUUAAUCAAAGGAGAAGAAAGCAUUGAAGCCAAGCAUUACCUUGAGAGCUUCGGCUGAAACGAACUGGAAUUGAUCCUCUGAACUGUUGGAUGAAAAUGAAAUGAGAGUGAAUAUUGCAUUUGUUGGGUGGGGAGCAAGUGGUGGUGGAGUUGAUAAUUAAAGGUUUGGAGAUAUUGGAGAUAGUGGUGGUGGUUGGCUGAGGGAGGAAAGCAAAAGGUUGGAGUGGUGUUGGUGGAGUAAAUACGUGUACAUCAUUAGCAAAAGAUGGAAAUAAAAAUUUUAUCUAAACUUUAAUUGAUUGAAGAGCUUUUGCUUUUGUAAUAUACUAGACGAUUUUCCCCAAGCUGGGAACUAGACUGUAAUCUGUGAACUGUAAAUAAAUACUGGCUUCGAUUUUAAAUCAUCGCAUUUCUGUA